UACGGGGGGGGCAAGCGUUGUUCGGAAUUACUGGGCGUAAAGGGCGCGUAGGCGGCCUGCUAAGUCGGACGUGAAAUCCCUCGGCUCAACCGAGGAACUGCGUCCGAUACUGGUGGGCUUGAAUCCGGGAGAGGGAUGUGGAAUUCCAGGUGUAGCGGUGAAAAUGCGUAGAUAUCUGGAGGAACACCGGUGGCGAAGGCGGCAUCCUGGACCGGUAUUGACGCUGAGGCGCGAAAGCUAGGGGAGCAAACGGGG
rnacentral:rRNA from 1 species